rnacentral:snoRNA from 1 species
AUACCAUGGUGCGGGCAUAUAACCACCAUCCCUUUAAAGCGCUCCCAUGUUUUAUGCAGUGUCUCUAUUGGUCUCUGUUUAAAACUCAAAAUUUUAUCAAUUUGUUG